rnacentral:rRNA from 1 species
CANGGAGNGAUCANGCGUUAUCCCGGAUUCAUUGGGUUUAAANGGGUGCGUAGGCGGAAUGGUAAGUUAGUGGUGAAAUCCCCCGGNCUCAACCGGGGAACUGCCAUUAAUACUGUCAUUCUUGAGUAUAGUUGAAGUGGGCGGAAUGUAUCAUGUAGCGGUGAAAUGCUUAGAUAUGAUACAGAACACCGAUAGCGAAGGCAGCUUGCUAAACUAUAACUGACGCUCAGGCACGAAAGCGUGGGGAGCAAACAGGAUUAGAUACCCUGGUAGUCCACGCCGUAAACGAUGAUCACUCGCUGUUGGCGAUACACAGUCAGCGGUAAAGGAAACCAUUAAGUGAUCCACCUGGGGAGUACGGUCGCAAGAUUGAAACUCAAAGGAAUUGACGGGGGCCCGCACAAGCGGAGGAGCAUGUGGUUUAAUUCGAUGAUACGCGAGGAACCUUACCUGGGCUUAAAUGUAAGACGACAGUCCCCGAAAGGGGACCUUCCUUCGGGACGUCCUACAAGGUGCUGCAUGGUUGUCGUCAGCUCGUGCCGUGAGGUGUCGGGUUAAGUCCCAUAACGAGCGCAACCCCUAUCCUUAGUUGCCAUCAGGUAAUGCUGGGGACUCUAAGGAAACUGCCUACGCAAGUAGCGAGGAAGGUGGGGAU